UACGGAGGGAGCUAGCGUUGUUCGGAAUUACUGGGCGUAAAGCGCGCGUAGGCGGCUUUGUAAGUCAGAGGUGAAAUCCCGGGGCUCAACUCCGGAACUGCCCUUGAGACUGCAUCGCUUGAAUCCGGGAGAGGUGAGUGGAAUUCCGAGUGUAGAGGUGAAAUUCGUAGAUAUUCGGAAGAACACCAGUGGCGAAGGCGGCUCACUGGACCGGUAUUGACGCUGAUGUGCGAAAGCGUGGGGAGCAAACAGG
rnacentral:rRNA from 1 species